AGAGUUUGAUCAUGGCUCAGGAUGAAUGCUGGCGGCGUGCCUAACACAUGCAAGUCGAGCGGCAGCGAGGGGUGCUUGCACCCUGUCGGCGAGCGGCGAACGGCUGAGUAACGCGUAGGAAUUUGCCCCAAAGUGAGGAAUAACUGCCCGAAAGGGUAGCUAAUGCCGCAUAUGGUCUUCGGAUUAAAGGAUUUAUCCGCUUUGGGAGAAGCCUGCGUUGGAUUAGGUUGUUGGUAGGGUAAUGGCCUACCAAGCCGACGAUCCAUAGCUGGUCUGAGAGGAUGAUCAGCCAGACUGGAACUGAGACACGGUCCAGACUCCUACGGGAGGCAGCAGUGAGGAAUCUUCCACAAUGGGCGAAAGCCUGAUGGAGCAACGCCGCGUGAAGGAUGAAGGCCUUCGGGUUGUAAACUUCUUUUAUGAGUGAAGAAUAUGACGGUAACUCAUGAAUAAGCACCUGCUAACUACGUGCCAGCAGCCGCGGUCAUACGUAGGGUGCAAGCAUUAUCCGGAGUGACUGGGCGUAAAGAGUUGCGUAGGCGGUUUAAUAAGUGAAUAGUGAAACCUGGUGGCUCAACCAUACAGACUAUUAUUCAAACUGUUAAACUCGAGAAUGGUAGAGGUAACUGGAAUUUCUUGUGUAGGAGUGAAAUCCGUAGAUAUAAGAAGGAACACCAAUGGCGUAGGCAGGUUACUGGGCCAUUUCUGACGCUAAGGCACGAAAGCGUGGGGAGCGAACCGGAUUAGAUACCCCGGUAGUCCAA
rnacentral:rRNA from 1 species